rnacentral:rRNA from 1 species
UGGGGAAUCUUGGACAAUGGGGGCAACCCUGAUCCAGCCAUGCCGCGUGAGUGAUGAAGGCCUUAGGGUCGUAAAGCUCUUUCGCCUGUGAAGAUAAUGACGGUAGCAGGUAAAGAAGCCCCGGCUAACUCCGUGCCAGCAGCCGCGGUAAUACGGAGGGGGUUAGCGUUGUUCGGAAUUACUGGGCGUAAAGCGCACGUAGGCGGACCAGAAAGUUGGGGGUGAAAUCCCGGGGGCUCAACCCCGGAACUGCCUCCAAAACUAUUGGUCUAGAGUUCGAGAGAGGUGAGUGGAAUUCCAAGUGUAGAGGUGAAAUUCGUAGAUAUUUGGAGGAACACCAGUGGCGAAGGCGGCUACCUGGACCGAUACUGACGCUGAGGCGCGAAAGCGUGGGGAGCAAACAGGAUUAGAUACCCCUGGUAGUCCACGCCGUAAAACGAUGUCUGCUAGUCGUUGGGGAGCAUAGCUCUUCGGUGACGCAGCUAACGCAUUAAGCAGACCGCCUGGGGGAGUACGGCCGCAAGGUUAAAACUCAAAAGG